rnacentral:rRNA from 1 species
CUCGAACGCUGGCGGCAGGCCUAACACAUGCCCGUCGAGCGGAGCGGAGGACGGGUGAGUAAUGCCUAGGCAUCUGCCUGGUCGUGGGGUAUAACGUCGGGAGACGGGCGCUCAUACCGCCUACUCUCAGAUGCGCCUCGGUCGGAUUAGCUAGUUGGUGGGGUAAAGGCCUACCCAGGCGACGAUGCGUCACUGGUCCGAGAGGAUGAUCAGUCACGCUGGAACUGAGACACGGUCCAGACUCCGACGGGAGGCAGCAGUGGGGAAUAUUGGAGAAUGGGCGAAAGCCUGAUCGAGCCAUGCCGCGUGUGUGGAGAAGGGCGUCGGAUUGGAAAGCACUUGAAGUUGGGAGGCGUUACCAACAGAAGAAGCGCCGGCUAAGUUCGUGCCAGCAGCCGCGGUAAUUC